CCUACGGGUGGCAGCAGUGAGGAAUAUUGGUCAAUGGGCGGGAGCCUGAACCAGCCAAGUCGCGUGAGGGAAGACGGUCCUAUGGAUUGUAAACCUCUUUAGGCGGGGAGCAAUGCCGGGCACGUGUGCCCGGAGGGAGAGUACCCGCAGAAUAAGCAUCGGCUAACUCCGUGCCAGCAGCCGCGGUAAUACGGAGGAUGCGAGCGUUAUCCGGAUUUAUUGGGUUUAAAGGGUGCGUAGGCGGGCUGUUAAGUCAGCGGUAAAAGCCCGGGGCUCAACCCCGGCGAGCCGUUGAAACUGGCUGUCUUGAGAUGUCGAGAGGUAUGCGGAAUGCGCAGUGUAGCGGUGAAAUGCUUAGAUAUUGCGCAGAACUCCGAUUGCGAAGGCAGCAUACCGGCGGCGAUCUGACGCUGAGGCACGAAAGCGUGGGUAUCGAACAGGAUUAGAUACCCUUGUAGUC
rnacentral:rRNA from 1 species